CUAGGGUCAGCAUCUGGCCUUCGCCCCCGUGGGCUGUGCCUGGUGCUCUUAUAGGGAGGGCCCUCCUUCCUGAACCCUCUGAGGGAGGAGCGACCAGGAUCCGUCCACACCAUGGAGUCAGUGAGGCCUGUGAGCCGGAAGGCCCACGCCCUCGUUCUGCACAGAAGGCACCUGAGCCAUGGUGGGCAGUGACUAGUCCAGGGCCAUACUCGUCCUCAGAUUCCUGGGACAGUACUCUCUUCUCUCCUGCUCUACACCUCGUGACUGGGCCGAGGUUCUUAAUACAAGAGGCAGCCAGAACUGUGGGUGCAGACAUGGGGCAAACCUACGAGAACAAUGAAGGCCUCAUCCUCGGAAUGGAUUGCGGUGCACACUGGGCAUCUGAUGUGGUUUACGAAAACAAAAUAGGAGCGUGAAUUAAAAAUGAUGAAUCAAUGCAGGGAAAAUGGAAGAUACAAGGUCUAGAUCAGAGGGAUAGAAGAACAUGGAUAAGCAGAGUAGAAGACCCCACAGCGUGGCUGUGUCUGGGCCCCAGACUCAGGGGGCAGCUUCCUGGCAGUAAGAAGAAAGGACAACACAGCUGUUCAUUCUCAGUGUCAUGAUGGAUAAAUCCAGCACCCAGAACUCAGCCUGCCAUACAGCAGGUGCUCAGAAAACACAAGUGGGCCGUUACUGCCAGGUUCAGAAUGAUGAUCACUCGUGGAGAGAGGGAGGGCCCUGGAUUGUGCACUGGCUUCCAACUGUAUCUGCUCAAGUCUUUUUCAAGAGGGCAGCAGAUUUUCUGCUAUUGGCUACGCUAUUGCCUAUUUUGUUGUUACUAUU